AGGGAAUAUUGCGCAAUGGACGAAAGUCUGACGCAGCAACGCCGCGUGGGUGAUGAAGCAUUUCGGUGUGUAAAACCCUGUCAGUGGGGAAGAAAAGUAUCGGGAGUAACUGCCCGGUACCUGACGGUACCCGCAGAGGAAGUCCCGGCUAACUCCGUGCCAGCAGCCGCGGUAAUACGGGGGGGACAAGCGUUGUUCGGAUUUACUGGGCGUAAAGGGCGCGUAGGCGGACCUUCAAGUCGGAUGUGAAACCUGGCGGCUUAACCACCAGCCUGCAUUCGAUACUGUUGGCCUUGAGUAUGGGAGAGGAGAAUGGAAUUUCAGGUGUAGCGGUGAAAUGCGUAGAUAUCUGAAAGAACACCAGUAGCGAAGGCGGUUCUCUGGACCAAUACUGACGCUAAAGCGCGAAGGCUUGGGGAGCAAAC
rnacentral:rRNA from 1 species